GUGCUCAUUUCGGCAGCACACAUACUAAAAUUGGAACGAUACAGAGAAGAUCAGCAUGGCCUCUGCGCAAGGAUGACACACAAAUUUGUGAAGCAUUCCAUAUUAAA
ensembl:snRNA U6 U6 spliceosomal RNA